GCAGUGGUGCUUCAGUGGUUGAAUUCUUGCCUUCCAAGAGGGAGGCCCAGGUUUGAUUCCUGGCCAGUGCA
rfam:Loxodonta africana unplaced genomic scaffold scaffold_58, whole genome shotgun sequence.